UGAUUUGGUCUAUGAUGGCCACCGAAGAAGUGUCGGGGAUGAAGGACUCCGCUGACUUGAGAUCUACCCACCUGUGGUCCCGACGGUUCAGGAAAGACACCCUCAAAGCUAAGAGGAACAUCGACCAUGGACUCGUUGCUUGGGCUUUGAAGAAAAGAUCCAAUAAUAAUAUUGCGAAGGCUAGCAGCAUUAUAUUCCGGCCUGCACCAGAUUACCUAUCACUCAGGUCAUAAAACUCUUAUGCGGGACCCCACGGGAGGAGCCGUCGGCGACCACGCGUGGCAUUUUGUAGGUUGCCAGGUGUAUGAUCCAGAUGUCCAGGAUUGGGUCCCUUGUUAGCAUCCGCUGGCGGGACCUUUUUCUCCAGCCUGAGAGAAGAUUCCCCCUCCCUGGUCCACCUGCCUGCUGCUUCUUCCAGAGCUAUCCUGGUGGGGUCACCCCUGGGCCCCAUGCUUCCUUCGGUUGAAACCUCUCCUCUCCCUCACCGUGGGAGACCCUAAUUGAGAUCACACACAUUUGGUUCACAAAUAAACUC